rnacentral:rRNA from 1 species
AUUGAACGCUGGCGGUAUGCUUAACACAUGCAAGUCGCGCGAGAAAGUUCACUUCGGUGGAUGAGUAGAGCGGCGCACGGGUGAGUAACGCGUGGGUAAUCUACCCGAAAGACUGGGAUAACAGUGGGAAACCGCUGCUAAUACCGGAUACGCUUCAUGCAUUAUCGUAUGAGGGAAAGGUGGCCUCUGCUUGCAAGCUACCACUUUUGGAUGAGCCCGCGUCCCAUUAGCUAGUUGGUAAGGUAACGGCUUACCAAGGCUUCGAUGGGUAGCUGGUCUGAGAGGAUGAUCAGCCACACUGGGACUGAAACACGGCCCAGACUCCUACGGGAGGCAG